rnacentral:rRNA from 1 species
GACGAACGCUGGCGGCGUGCUUAACACAUGCAAGUCGAACGCUGAAGCACCAGCUUGCUGGUGUGGAUGAGUGGCGAACGGGUGAGUAAUACGUGAGUAACCUGCCCUUGACUCUGGGAUAAGCCCGGGAAACUGGGUCUAAUACUGGAUGCUACAUGUCACCGCAUGGUGGUGUGUGGAAAGGGUUUACUGGUCUUGUAUGGGCUCACGGCCUAUCAGCUUGUUGGUGAGGUAAUGGCUCACCAAGGCGACGACGGGUAGCCGGCCUGAGAGGGUGACCGGCCACACUGGGACUGAGACACGGCCCAGACUCCUACGGGAGGCAGCAGUGGGGAAUAUUGCACAAUGGGCGAAAGCCGGAUGCAGCGACGCCGCGUGAGGGAUGACGGCCUUCGGGUUGUAAACCUCUUUCAGCAGGGAAGAAGCCACAAGUGACGGUACCUGCAGAAGAAGCGCCGGCUAACUACGUG